AGGGUGUCACGGAAACCACCAAGAAAAAUGGGCCCCCGGCUCGCCUGGUCCUGUACUUCGACUCGCUCACCUACGAGCACAUUCGAUCGGUGCCUAAGUACGACGAGACCCGGGUACUGAGCAAUCUGGGUGGUAUCAGCGGCAUGUACCUGGGCCUGUCCUUCUUCGUUUUCUUCCAAGUGCUCGACAUCCUUGUUGUCGGGGCGCUGCGGCUCAGGAGGAUGCGGCACUGGGACGCACGCCAGCGCAUCCUGGUGGGGCUCGCAAGGCGAGGAGACGCCCGUACUUCCUCGCACAACUAGCCGACAGCAGGAAAAUUGCCGUCGUCGUGUUUGCGCCCUGUUCGCAUCUCACGCGGGCUAAGUGCAGAUAGGGUUCCCAAUAGUUCCAGUCAGCGCACUUUUAACUCACUCGCUGACCCAUAUUUCCUUAAAGGGAUACUGAACGAAAAUAUGAAAAAAUGCGGGAAGCAUCGAAAUUCAACUGGGAAGACGCGACUGUUCCGAUACGCAAUGUUUAAUUCACGUAUUUUUUAACGGAUGGCUGUUUUUUUUUUUCUUACAAAAUAAGUACAGUCGCCAAUCGAUUUUUCUUACAUAGAAAGGUCCGCAAAGUAUUCCUAAUUAUCGGGCAAUCAAUAAACGCAAAUUUGAAUGACAAAGCAAUUUGUUUUGCUGAAUUUGGGAGUCGGCGACGAACAAUACGGUUUCAUGCCACGUCGACGAUAUCUUCACAUCGGCGGUACGAAAAAGCUUGCAGCAGUAAUGUGCUUAAACCCCUUUCACACAAUUCUACAGACUUAGGACUUUAAGUCGGAGUUGGAUAUUUUGCUUAAUUGUAGCUGAGCUAAUCCUGCAUGGGAAUAAAUACAAUGUACCCAAUUGGGUACUAUGGGACCGAGGAGGUUAUGUUAAGAGCAUAGAAAGAUGACUGGAAAACAGGAAAUUAGGGUUUGAUUUAUCCUACAUGCGUAAUGGACAAAUGGUGCAACAGAAGGUCCCUGGACUGAUGUAUGCGGACGAGAUAGUGCUACUAGCGGACAAUACAAGAGAUUUACAGACACUUGUGAAUAUCUGUGACAACGCAGCGACAAAUGUAGGCCUUAAGAAUUUAGCACAGAAAAGUCAGCAAUUAUGAUCUUAAAUGAAGAGAUGAGCAAUUGCGUGGUGUCAACAGCAAGUCAUAACCAUAGUCAAGCAA